rnacentral:lncRNA from 1 species
UUGGGUUUUUCCUCCGCGACAAUCAAUUUGGCUGUUUUUCACCAUUUCUGACGGACUAAAUCAAUGUGACAGGAGCACUCGCUCUCGCUUAGGUGGAAGAUUUUACACUGUCAGAGGAGGAUUUUUCUGCUCUCCUAGCAAACAAAAGAAAAGUGUCUGCCGACGAGGGCAGAGCGGGCGCAUGAAGUGUUAGAAAUCAGACAGCGGGGGACACCCAGGAUGACAGGAAGGACAGGAUUUAAGGAGAGGAGGAGUGCAGGUGGGAAUAAAGUGCUGUACAGAAGUGAACAUGAUGUGAUGAGAUCAUAAACUGUAGAAAUGUAAAUCGGACUCUCCUGAGGUUGAGACUUUCAGGCCCUGAGCGUUAAAAUGAAGGUCUGAUUGACAUGCUUCUGGUGUAACAGAGUGGAGGAUUAUGUUUUCACACCAACUCUGAGUAAACCUGGAAGGUUGAACUGAGAGUUAGUGUUGCAGGAAAACACAACACACACACACACACACACACACACACACACACACACACACACAGGAGUCACAAGUCUGUCUAGUGUUAUGAACGUUCAGAUCCAACACCUCACUCGUCCUGACUGCUCCGCCUCCCUGUGCCUGAAACGCUGAGCCCGGUCACGUCAGAGGCUAAAGUUACUGUUACCACGGUUACCAGGUCUUCACCAACUUCACCGUCCACCUUUUACUCCUGCACAUGCAGGGCGCUCUCUGCUCUUCGGUCAAAAAUCGAUGAUGUGAUGAAAACAGAGGAAGUAGGAAGUAAGAGGAUCAUGAUGGACUUUAUUUAUUUAAUGUUCAGAUGGAUCAGAGGAGACUCGGGGUCGACUGAACGUUCAUGGAAGUCCAGCUGCUGUUCAACCAUCCUCACUCUCCAUCAUAUACUUUAUUUUUGUAUCCAUCACAGGGCUUGACACUAACUAAGGAGUACUAUUAUUACUAUUAUUAGAAAUCAAUUUUAGGUCUUUUGGUCACAUGACAUGGAAGCUAUUGUGAGAACAGCCUUUUCUGAGAACAUCAACCGGUAAUUUAUUGACGGUCCCUUAUUCAACACCCGACGUUGACAGUGAGGGUGUCGAGUAGAUUUAACCGCGCUGCUGUUGUUAUUCCCGGUUAUGGAGAGUGAGAAGACAGCGGUAGAUCCUCAGAGAAUGUCCGUCAGAUAUCCAACCUGAAACUAACUUCACCGCUGUAUUUACAGGAAAAUAUAUCCAACCUAAAACUAACUUCACCGCCGUAUUUACAGGAAAAUAUAUCCAACCUAAAACUAACUUCACCGCCGUAUUUACAGGAAAAUAUAUCCAACCUAAAACUAACUUCACCGCCGUAUUUACAGGAAAAUAUAUCCAACCUAAAACUAACUUCACCGCCGUAUUUACAGGAAAAUAUAUCCAACCUAAAACUAACUUCACCGCCGUAUUUACAGGAAAAUAUAUCCAACCUAAAACUAACUUCACCGCCGUAUAUACAGGAAAACAUAUCCAACCUAAAACUAACUUCACAGCCGUAUUUACAUCUAUUUUUAGUCGCACUGUCGAGCCCCGCCAUCACACAUUUUGAAUUUGUCAUCUUUUUCUGCGUAUUCUAUGAUAAAAACACAAAAUCCCAGAGUUUAACCUAAUGCCUGUUUAUAUAAAAUCAUGUGAUCUUUUUAUUUUGGGGUACUAACCACAUUCACUUUUACUUUAGCAUUAGUUUCUUAAAGCUGGAACUGGACCGUCCUCCCGCCCCAGUAAACCAGAAUACCGCCCCCUUUAAACGCUCUCCAUAUAGACAAAUUUAAGUUUAAUGCUAACUGAUAGUACUGUGGAUUUCUUUCCUGUAAGAGUUUUUUCUGUGUGAAAAUAAAAAGCAAUAUUUUCCAGUCAAUCUAUUUCUGCACAUAUCCAGACUGUAUGGACCCCAUGAAUAAUUCAUAGUGGGGCUCUUUAGUCCCAUGCACCAUUUACUGCAUGCUUCAUUACGACUGUGGGCUCAGCUGGUGCCGAGCCCCUUCUUUAAUAUUAGCCGGAGCACUAGUUGACAUUCAUGUGAGCCUCCGCUAAAGCAGGGGCACGAGGCUUUAAAUCACUGUCAGGGCUCCACACAGAGCUGCACACAUAACUUCUGACUCCACUCUGUUGGUUAGGAGCAACAGCAGAUGAUCUGGACUUAAGCUAGACAAAUAACUGCCCUCCACUUCCUCCCCCCCUCACCCUCCUCACCCUCCUCCCAGUCUGCUCCGGGCUGCUUUAGUCAAUAUCCGGUCCUGCUUUUCCUACUUCUCAUUCCUGGCCUCUCCCUGCUCAGCCCUUAUCUCUCUUCACUCUUUAUUGCCCUCUUCAUCUGAGGGCUGUUGUUUAGAUUGACAUCUGCCACGACGGCUGAUAAAGACCAAACCGUCCCUCUCACGACCAUCAAAAUCCAAUUCUUGGGUAAAGACGGGAUCAUGCUGUGACGAUACUUCCUCGAACUCAUCAGGCUGCAGAUUACUGCAACAAAAAAAGAGCAGAAUUCAUGAUGAUCUGGACAAAGAGCUGACCUCCCCACCAAAUGGACCACUGCUGUCGAUCAGCUGCUGUCCUUCAGCCCCGUAUCAGGCUGAAACACACACACACACACACACACACAGUGAAGCACUGGAGCACUAACAUGUCAGCAUAAUGAAAUUAGACAGCCUCGUUUGUGACGCUGCAUUGUCCUUGUUCAUCGGUGGCACCGUUCCCACCACACACGGCCUCCUCACCCUGUCCGGAGCUGAGCGACCAGGAUAUUGCUAAUCGCUCACAAUAGAAGGAUUAGCAAGCAAGGACAAUAGGGAUCUAAAUGUCAGAGGCCAGCACCUGCCCUAAGCCCUCUCUGUCGGACAACAGUUAAUGGGCAGCAGGCGGCGGGCAAAUUGUGAAGCGCCGCUCGAAAGAGGAGGCGGGGAGAGGAGGCCUCCGGAGAAAACUGAUGUACAUACAGCUGAAGACAUUUAAAUUUACGACACAUGUCCACAGAUUAAUGUUGGAUAAUAAUCUGAAAAUAUGACAUUUAUAUACUCAGGGAUAGUGAGCACCGCCCACAUUUAAUAAAAGGGAAAUGAAUAAAAACUAAAGUUUAAUUCAGAAAUCAGACAUUGGAUUAAUUCUAAAUCAUAAACCUGAAUUCUCAUUUCAUGAAAUUCCACCUCUGAAGAACAUUAAGGUACAUACUAACUAAACAAGAGGGUACUUUGUUUACAUUCACAUUUUAACUAAAUACUUUAUGUACAUUAAUACUUCAUUUACAUUCUAACUAAUAUUUUGUUCACAUUUUAAUUUAACCAGAUGGCACUUUGUUUACAUUUAGAGUUUAACUGAAUACUUUGUUUACAUUAAUACUUUGUUUAUAUUUUAACUUAACCAGAAGGUAGUUUGUUCACAUUUUAACUAUAUACUUUGUUUAGCUUUUUACAUAACCAGAGGGUGCUUUGUUUACAUUUAUACUCUUUUUACAUUUUAACUGUACCAAAGGGUGCUUUGUUUAUAUUUAUACUCUUUUUACAUUUUAACUGUACCAAAGGGUGCUUUGUUUAUAUUUUAGCUUGUUUACAUUGGUAAUUUGUUUACAUUUAACUUAACCAGAGGGUACUUUGUUUACAUUUUAACCUCAUACUUUGUUUACAUUUUAACUUAAUGCUUUGUUUACAUUAAUACUUUGUUUAUAUUUUAACUUACCCAGAGGGUACUUUAUUUACAUUUUAACUUAACAAGAGGGUACUUUGUUUACAUCUUUAGAAAAACAACAACAACCAGAGGUAAUUUGUUUUUUUUUUCAAAGUCCAUCUUUGGGGCGCUUUGUUAACAUUUAAUAGCUCAGAAAAUGCAGCUACAGGUGCUUUAUCCACAUUUAUGCUUUAUGGUAUUUUUCACGUGAUUAUCACUGUAAGGGCACCAGAUGAGCUUUUUUUGGUCCUUCAUCCAGUUUAAAACAUCUAAGAGUGCACUUAUGUGUUAUUGUUCAAACAUGGCCAUGGGGGGGCAAAGGGAGGUUUGCCCUUCUACUCCCUCUCUAAGCACGCCACUGCUGCCCCCCUCAGGCAGAAGGACCAGAUAGUCAACACAGAUGUGAAUGUAAAUGAGAUGCACGAUGAGUCAAAGUGGGAAUGCCGAGUAUUGGUGAGAGGCUGAAUAGCUUCGUAUAUCAUCCAACUAUAAAAGUCAUUUCUCUCUUAAUGUCCAAAUUAAGUCCAAGUGAGAAGCGAGCGAGUGAAAAAUGCCGCCAUUCCAGCAGACUUCAGGACCAGCUGAGUUUCUAUGAAAUUCCUUGAGCGUGUUUUAUGAAGCUCCUUUUUAUACCGAGGUGUUUUCACUUCCUUCAGCCGUCGUACUGCUUCAGCUGCAGCACUUCCAUUAAUUUGUAGCUUAGCCUUCAGCUAAACAAAACACUACCACUGCUGCAAUUUAAUAGGCAAGGCACAGCGCUGUAGAGAGAGCGAAUGAUGUUGAGUGUCACUGGUAUAAAAAUCAUUGUCUCAUAAUAGCUGACUCUCAGGAGAAAGCUGGUAUUCUUUACUGACUGCCUGCCUUCUUCAAAGCAAGGGCAAAGCUGUUUUGAGAAACACUAAACGAAGUGUUUUUUCACGCAGAGCAACCCUACAGCCAAGAACUUUUUCAGAUGCCACACUCGAGCUUUUCUCUCCAUUUCCUCUUGCAUACAUUUCUAUAAACCCACCGAGCGCGGCCUUGGCUUCUGAAGGUAAUUGUCUCACCCUCGCUGCUUCACUUACAGUGCAGAGCAAGCACAGGACUAAUCUUAUCAGUGCAUGCAGCUCUCUACAAGCCAGACACCUUCAAUGCCAGCUCUCACCUCCUGAUCAAUACAGAUCAGUCCUGGGGAAAUAUGGAGAGCUGUUAUCAGCUGAGAGUGAUAAUAAACGUCGACUAUCUCCAGAGUUACACAGGCUGACAGCUCAGGUGGGCUGUGGAGAACUUAGUCAAACUUAUUACUGUUCGUCUUUUAAUGAACUGAGCUGCCACCAAAGGGAAGACAUCGCUGUGUUGUCCCACAUUACUACAAUAAAAGCUCCAGACACAGCAGCUUCCAUACCUAAAAAACAGUCACGGAAACAACAUCCAUCUUCAUGUCAGAAAAAACCAACAGUUCCUUAUUAAAGACCUUCAGCCAGGAAGUCAGUCAGCCUUGUUUUACCUCCUCUGACUGUGAGGACCUUAGUCGUAAAAGUAAUGUUCAGCACAGUAACACAAAGAAAUAAUCCAAAUGUCAGACAGAGCAGCGCUGCUCCCGCUAACCCAACCUCGGUCCACUAACACAGUCUUAUACAUCAACACUGGGCCCACCCACCCACCCAGCUCCCAUGAUGCUUUACAACAACCAGCAAACAGUGGUGGUUCAUUUAUGUCGAUGAUGAUGUUUCAAUUUCUUCAAUUAAAGGGAUAUCCCGGCAUAAAAUUAAUUUAGGGUCAAACCCACCGUAACACAGUUAGACCCCCCCUCCAGAGAUGAAUGUUGCCGACCGCUUGCUUCUCUAGUUAUACCAACUUUAGCAACGACCCCAGGAUAGAAAUACAGAGAGCCACGCCCUCAACCAAAACGCCACUCUAUAGCCACAAAUAAUGCUCAGAACAGCACCUAACUUCAUCAACAGGACAUAUAGGGUCACAGACAUAGUACUAGACACCAAACAUCUUUUUAACUUUGACUCAUUUCUUUAGCAAAGAGACUAAACACAACUCACCUACUCUCUUCCAGCAGCUGCUUGUUUGUAGUGAGACCUCAGGCUAGUCCAUUAUGGACUACAGCGGGGUGACGCAGCUCAAGGAAGAACAUUUAUGAUCAAAAUACAAACCGUGCGUUUCUGUUCCAGCCUGAGCGAGUAACAAAGAUUCGUCUCUUUUUUUACUUCCUUUAGUUUUCUCCUGUUUGACUUCAGGUCAGGCUCAGACUAGUUCUGGUCCCGUUGAGGUGAAAGCAUGCAAAAGAAAACUGACCCAGAAUCACAUCAUGGGUUUGUUAGUCGGACUAUGAUUACAACUCAGUCAGACUGGAAUGUUUUCUCAUUUUUUAAAGUCCAGGUUCAGUCAAAAGGACGCCAUAUAUGGACUCCUAACAUCUCAUAAACGGACUGUGACAAAAACUUUUCUUUCCAACAUGAAGGAUAUUUUAAUUAGUGGGAGGUGAAGUUUAAAAUAUAAUCAGAGACAGUUAUCAUAACCUAACUUUAUGUCACCCUACUAGGGGCGGGUCCUUGGUGUUCUCGCCUGUCAGUCAAGUCAUUUGUGCCUCUGAUUCGAUUACAUUGAAUCAAACUUGGGCUCUCUGAGCUACGCCAACUUGAACAUUUUGCAUACAGCCUCCAGUGGACACUGAGAGAACUGCAGUUUUUAACACUUACCUGAUCAGUCUGACAUCUACCUGACGUCGGAGGUUAGAAACAUUCAAAACUGGACACUGACCAUCUGCUCUGCUUUUGUAGGUUAUGUGGAAACAGCAGCAGCAGCAUUAGUUCCAGCCUGUUUCAUAACCUCCUGAAAACUCCUCACAGGAGCUUUAAACCGUCAUCACGUGCAGAGAUGUGACCCACUUCAGAUCCUGCAGCAGAGCGUCUAAAUAAACACGAUUGUGGUUCAAAAGAACGAGCAGAGAGGUUUGAUGGAGAAUGAUCUUCACAAUCACACGUCAGAGUCCAGUGAUAUCAUUGACAUACAUCGACUUUUAAUUACCCGCAGAGUCUAAGUGAAGCUGACACCUUCAUAAUGAGCUCAUGUGUCCAGGGAGCUCAUUUGACACGGUGAUAAUGUGUCUGCAUAAUAUGAUCGGCUGUCUCAACAGUCACCUGUCAGUCAAUCUCACAGAUUAGCAUCAGAGUCCCCCUCAGGGACCGCUCUGAAGUCGACUUUAAAGCCAUCUAAAAACAUGUCCAUACUGCCGAUGGUAACGUCUGCUGUAUUCAUGAUUCAGACAAAAUCAGAGUUAUUGUUUUUAUGAAACAGGUUUGAGGUUAAAAACGUCUGACAAACCAUUAAGAGAUGAACGAGUGUUCACAUUCAGGAGACAAAAACCCUUAAAGGUGGUGUAGUCAGGAUCUGAUGAAGUUCCAGUUUUCAGGAGAAAUCUUGAAUGUAAACUCUACCCCACCCAACUCGCUCGUAUCGUUCCAAUUAAAUUCAGAUAUAAUGCAGAUAAAUACUUCAGAUCAUUACAAAUGGGGCCCAGUCAAGGUGAAAGUCAAAAGCAUUGGUGCUACUGUAGAUGCCAACAGACUACCAGCAAACACAAUGUUUGCAGGACUUCUACAACGAGGAUAAAGUGACAUAGUCCAGGACCCGAGGGAGGACAGUUUAGCGAUGGCGCUACAACACGCUACAGCAGGUCCGUUUGACAAGAAACACUUCUGUUACAGACACUUGUCUUACUUUGUUAAAGCGGUUUACCUGUCCAGCAGAAAGGUUACAGGGUCACCAAGAUCCCCAAGCGUCCCCCAUGGUUUAUGUUGACCCGGCUUUUUAGCUCUUGUCCGGUCUACCUCCGUUUUAAGCGCCCGUUAUUCCUCCAGAGUCUCCGGUAUUUACUUUGUUUUCUCGCUUGUGUCGGCAGUCGUGGCCAAAGGAGGAUUCAGACAAUUUUCCGAACUUUCUGGUUGGUUUCUACUGUCCGAUAUUGUAGCACGCUAACUUUGUUUGGGCUCCUGAACGACACGGGGGAGCAGCGUCUGCCUCACAACCAAUCAGGUUAGAGGAGGUGGAGAACGGCUUUGUUUACAGUCAGAAAGAGCGGACCGCUCAAAAAUGUUCAAAUGUUGACGACACAGACAUAAGAGAACACAGAGAUAUCGAUAUAUUACCAAAUGUCAUCAAUAACUAAUAACUAUUGACUGAUAUUAGAAGAUUUUUUGUAAAUACACUACAAAAAUAUGCUUCUUAAUGCUUCUUUAACGGAUUCCUGUCUACUCCACCUUUGCGAGGACUCAGGGUUUAAAUAUUCACUGAACAAAUGGAUCACGCUGUGUCGACACUUCCCGAUAUAAGAGAAAACAGAGGAAGCAAAGGAUCAUGGGAAGUGUGAAAACAAAGUAAACACACCAAAACAAAAAUCAACCAUUUCCCCUCUUCUUCUCCUGCAUGAAGAGAGCGUGAUCUAUCAGAGCGCUCAGAGGAAAUCCUGAGUGAUGGGUUACGUAGACCCCCAUCAGUGGAUCCACACGUGUACCCAGGAGCUGCCAGCACUUGUGUGAUAUUAAUGUCAUCUGCCUUUUGUAGUCGGACUUGGAGGUUCAGAUCACGCUUCAGCUUUGCCUCGGUCGUGACUGCAGGGUCUUACGUCUCCGAAAAGACAGAAGAAGAACAAGAAGAAGAAGAAGAGGAGGAGAGGCUUGUUGGGCUUUAGUUCCAGCAGGCACAUGUCAGAUGCACCUCACUUCCUGCUAUAAACCGGGAUGAGUCUGCUGCUCGCCAGAGAGAGAAAAAAAGGUCAUUUGGCAGCGCUCUCGGCAUUUCACAGCAAUAUUUCUUGCGUAUGAAGUGGUAAAUGGGGGCCUUAACUCACAGAUGGCACGUACUCUGGUGAGAGUCAUAAACCGCCUGCUUCCCGUGAGGGAUUUGUUUGUGUCAAGCACCUGAUACACAUCCAGGGUGUCUUUGAUAAAUCCUGACGGUGGCCGGCAAAUUCAAAGUGCUCAUGCAUGACGGCGAGGUCGACGUGUGAGCAAACACGCCAAACAAACAGCACAAGGUCGUUUGUCUCAGAUACCGACCAUAAAGAAUACUCUGAGUACUGCUGUUGACAGGACGCUGCUUUGGUUAUUACUGCAUCUCUGUGUUCGUACUCAAAGUCUGGAGCAGACAGGAAACUGUGUGUCCGUCAGAUUUUAGUCCGACGCCUUCAGCAUGGUCGGCCUCAAGUAUACAAGAAUAUCAAAUAUCAGAGAUCUCUGGAAUCAGCUGGUUUCAGUAACUUCUCUGUUGGUGCCGCAGUGCAAGUGCAGAAAACUGCAGUUCCUUUCGUGUCCACUCGGGGCAGCAAAGGAAUACCCAUUAGAGCUUAUAUUAAAAUGUUCCUUUUUUUUUUUUUUCACAACUGAAUAAAUUGUAGUUCAUUAUUUGAUCUCUCUACAUCCUUUUUUAUAUUUGUUACCUGUAACUAGGGCUGGUCAAAAAAACGAUAAUGUUAUAUAUCCAAAAUUAAUUUCCCUCAAUAUCUGUAUGAAACAUGGUCAAUAUGCUUUUCAAUAGUCGUCAUUCUGACAUGUUUUGGUCGACUAUACGAACAGCCAAUGAAAAGGGGAGUGUCUCCGGGUCUGAACCAAUCAUGUUCUGAAUUAGAACCAAGUAUCAACCAACUGCAGCGUCGUAGCAGACAGCAGCUCCACCCAACCAUAGCACUUUAACAGGUGAAGCCGACAGCACUGUUGGUGAGAAACAAAGAAAAUGAGUGCUACCCCCGACAGAAAUGACCAUGAAGGCUCAACAGAUGACCACAUCAAUGUCAACCACAACACUGGCGUUAGGCAAACGUCGGUGGUGUGGAGGUAUUUUGGUUUUUGGAGGUCGGACAUGAAGCAGAGUAAUGUGGACUGUAAAUUAUGUCGAGUACAUGUUCUCACAAAGUCGGGGAAUACCUCAAAUCUUUUUCACCACCUGAAGCAGCGCCACACCGCAGAUUUUUAUAUUCUGAACUCCAGGUUUUCGAAUGAUUUGGUCCGAACACUCUUUUAAUACACAUGCAAUGAGUUGAACUUUGACCUUUUUCCAUUUAUUUGUUUCGCGCUCUUUGAGUGAAACCAACAGAACAGGCCCGUUUCAGGAGCAGACGUGUAAUCAGAACACGGGACAGAAGUGUUAGAAUCAGGUCUGAGUGAGAGUGAAACACCUGCAGAGACAGAUGGAUGUCAUCGUUCUCUCUGUCAACAGGUUUCAAAACAACGAGCUUUAAACAGAAGUCAGAAUAAUCAAACACACACACACACAGCUGAUGAUCAAAACAGUCAGAUGAAUAUUUCUACUACAUCUGUGAGUACCUUCAUGUUUCUCAGAUUAUAUCCUGGUGUUGUUUCAGGGUCGUGAGUUUUUACUCUGAUUAUUUCAUCCUAACACAGCCCACCAGGACCGCCCUCAUGAUGUCCUCCCAUCAUUUAAAGUCUGGAGACACUCCACAUUUUCCAUUGAAGCCGUAUUGACAGGAGGGGCGGGCGUGUCAUCAGCACAGAUGGCGGCUGAUUUCUACAAAAAGGAAAUUAAUGUUCCAGUAAUUUCCUUUUUUUGUUGAUUUGUUUUCGAUGGGAGUCAAAUUUCUGCCCAAAGGGAGUCAUGAGGACAUGUUCAGCUGCAGCCUGUGGGUCUGUCCUGUUGCUUAGAGAGCCAUUCAUCAACAGGAAGACACAGAAUCUAACCCUUCCUGCCUCUUCAUCGUUGGCUGACCCUGACCUUUGACCUCCCUGUGGAGGGUAACCUCAAUUGAAAGCAUCAAUAACAGAUCAAAUUACUGACUUUACGAGAGGUCGUAUAUUUGUCUCUCCAUCUCUGUCUCAUCUUUUCCAGCCAAACCUCAAGUCUCAGACUGACCCGCUCCAGACCAGCGGUCAGGAAACAAAUACUCCAUCUGUGACAACCGUGGACUAGACCAAGAUCUUCAGCCGUCAGAAGAGACUUACUACACUGAUCUGGACUUGAAUAUGUAGGGCUGGUCAAAAAAACGAAAAUGAUAUGUAUAUCCAAAAUUAAUUUCCCUCAAUAUCAAGAUAAAUCAUGGUCAAUAUGCUUUUCAAUAGUGGGCAUUCUGCCAUGUUUUGGUAGACUAUAUGAAAAGCCAAUGAAAAGGGGAGUUGUUCUGGGUCCGCUUCACUGUGAACCAAUCAUGUUCUGAAUUAGAACCAAGUAUCAAACAACUGCAUCACAGCAGACAGCAGCUACACCCAACCAUAGCACUUUAACAGGUGAAGCAGACAGCAGAAAUGACGAUGAAGGCUCAACAGACGACGACAUGGUCCACAACACUGGCGGGACGAAAACGUCGGUGAUGUGGAGGUAUUUUGGUUUUUUGAGGUCGUACAUGUAAAUUAUGUUGAGUACAUGUUAUUGCAAAGUCGAGGAAUACCUCAAAUCUUUUGGAACGCAAAAGGUUACAAACCCCGAGAGGAGCGAGGAGCCCAUGGCACCUGUGCAGCCGAAACAGACGACCAUUCAGUCCGCUUUCUCUUACGACAAAACGUCAGACACAAAGACCUCACAGAUGCAGGAGACUAUUGUAUUGGAAAAGACAUCCUACCAAUAAACACUUUUAGAUUUCAUUUUUUAUAUCGUGAUAUAUAUCGAUAUCGACUGAUAUGAAAGAAUAACGUCUCCUUUAAAAAAGAGGCUUCAAGGAUCACCAGAGAGUUUCUAGAGCCGUACUGUGAGGUGAACAAAAACCACAAAUGCAGACAGAAGCAAUCAUCUGAGAUCCUGAGGAGAGCAGAGAGCUGGUUUGGAGGGGAGCUCCUGCUCCGACCACAGAGAUGUGAAAUGAGAAGAAGAAUCUCACUUAAUGGCCGGAGCCGGAUGAUUGAAUUUCAGGAGACUCGGAGGCUCUGGCUAUCAAUUUAGGCUGAAAUGAUCAAUACAAAAAUGGCCGCUCCGCUGAGAGAGAGAGGCUUUCCUGCACCAAAAACAAAAACACGACUAUUUAUCACAACAGUUCCAGUUUGGAAAAACUUCACUAACAAGCUGCGUUUUAUUUUGAAAGGACACAGUCUUAACUUCCCUCAAAGACAGAGGUCAAAAUAUGACAGCAUAGAUUGAAGCGUGGUUAUGAUCUCAUAUUUAUGAUGUACAGAGGACUGAGUUUGAGAGUUUUAUCUUUUUAUUCACUCAGGAUUUCGCUGAGGGCCACACAUUAUCAAAAUCCCCUGACCUUGGUGAGAGAAAUGUUCAAUUUUCUUGGAUUAGAUAGAAAAUGUUCUCACGCAGUUUUGCGCUGAGCACGAGCCAAUUAAGUGUUUCCUUCUUUAAUCGGAGAGACCUGAAGUACAAUGGAGCGAUUUAGAUGUAAUAUCUUGACCUUUGAAAGACGUUUUCAAAAGGUCAGAUUUUAUGGGGGGGAAAUAUUCUCAUUAAUAAAAGAAGCUUUUUAGUCGAGCGAGCGGGAUCGACCUAAAAAUGUCAGACCUUUUUAAAUUAAAGGGCGAAUCAGCGCUGCUAUUAUUUUCUUUGUGUAUUUAAACAGAAAGGAAAUGUGCAACCGUGAGUAAACACAGCCACUUUCUUAUGUAACCCUGUAACUGUGGUUUUAUUUGAAAUGAUCAAACCGAGAGGUAAAAAAUAAACAUGCUGGAGUCUGUAUUUACAUAUGAACAGCUGACUAAACCUGUGCUCCAUUUAGAGACAAAUGCAGAAAUAUAACCAUUUUUUUAAAGAGCAGCUUCUCCUGCAGUUUCUCUCUGAGUUUGGUUGACUUUAAUGAAACCAAAACUCGGUUUAUAACCCUCCUUUAGACCUUUAUUCAGCAGACUGCUUCAUAAAUUCACUUCAUACUUGUAUAUUUUUACACAUUCUGAGUAUUUCUUUAAUACGCUCACGGUGCAGCAGGUUUAAAACGGGCUUACAGGUGCAGAGCUGCUGAUUUCAGAGCGAUCCAUUAAAACACUGACAGCUGGAAAUGAUCCCUGUUUUCUUAAUGAAAGUUAAAACACUGAUUGUUUUUUGAUGAUGCUCGUCCUCCCAUUUAUCAAAAUCAGACCAGAAUGCACGUGUAAUUCACAUUAUCUCGGUGAAUUCAUUAAUAACGUCGUCACUGCUGGAAAAUAACAGCAUCUCUGCUGAUCGACCGCGUUCGGAGGAAAACUCCAACAGUGAUUGUUUGUAAGAACUUUUUAUUGGCUGAUGAAUUUUUAUUUUUUUCACUAACUUUAUAAAAACACUUUUUUUUCUUGAUGUUUUCUUUAGUUUGUUAGUUUAGUUUGGGCCAAGCUGAACUUUGACAAUGAUGAGUGAAUUAGCUCCUAUUUACAUGUAAGAUUUAUGUUUAAAACAUCACUGUAGAAACAGCAAGACUGAAUAAACCAUCUGUUAUUACUGGAUGUCAGUCACAUGACCCUUUUAUACCCCUUUAAAAUGUAAUACCCAUCUGUCUGGGUGAGAAAAAUAAUGCUAUCUGAAGAAGUAUCUGGGUUUAGAGUUUACUUAUUUCUCUGAAGUCCUCAGAAAAUAUGAAAAUUUGUAUUUUCCUGCUUUUUAUAUCCACCUAGUCCCAAAAUAUGAAAGUUUCUCGUUACGUCACUCCAGGGCGGGAAAAUGAUCCUUAAGUGGCGUGUGAAAGUUUGAUCUUGAUUAGAAGGACCGUACGUUUCUGAGCAUUCAGGAGGUUAAACUUACAUUGUUUUAAUGUUCGCUAGCUGGUUAUUUAAGUUACAUCCACAAAUGUAAGAAAAUUAAGGUGCAGUUAUUAUUAAUGAGUGCUGAACUUAUAAUAAUACCAAUAAUAAUAACAAUAAUUAUUAUAUAACAGGGCUUGACACUAAUUUUUUUCACAUGUUCUCUUAAGUUAAAAAAGUAAGGAGCACAAAGAACUUUAGGGGACCAAUGAAAAUUAAUCAAUAAUGUUUGUCUUAUUGUCCGACCUUAGUACUAUUAUUAGAAAUCAAUUUUAGGUCUUUUGGUCACAUGACAGUGAAGCUAUUGAAGGAAAACAGCCUUUUCUGAGAACAUCAACCGGUAAUUUAUUGACGGUCCCUUAUUCAACACCGACGUUGACAGUGAGGGUGUCGAGUAGAUUUAACCGCGCUGCUGUUGUUAUUCCCGGUUAUGGAGAGUGAGAAGACACCGGUAGAUCCUCAGAGAAUGUCCGUCAGAUAUCCAACCUGAAACUAACUUCACCGCCGUAUUUACAGGAAAAUAUAUCCAACCUGAAACUAACUUCACCGCCGUAUUUACAAGAAAAUAUAUCCAACCUAAAACUAACUUCACCGCCGUAUUUACAGGAAAAUAUAUCCAACCUGAAACUAACUUCACCGCCGUAUUUACAGGAAAAUAUAUCCAACCUAAAACUAACUUCACCGC